GCACAAAUGUUUAGAGCUGAGCUGCAGAUUUGCCCAGAGACCUCUUACCAGAGCCAGGGCUUGAGCAGCCAGCUGGGUGUGGACUCCAGCUGGGGGCAAGAAAGUAGGGAGGGUGGUGUCAGCAUCAGAGUCUUGCUGAGCAGAAGCUGAGCCAUCAGCCAGCCAGAUAAUCCCACAGCUUUAGAAGUCCACAGAAAAGCUGCUCUGGCAGAAGGAGGGCAAGGCUCUGACGUGGCCAAAUGGCCAGUAAUUCCAGAGGAAUGCAAAGUGUGCUGUAAGGAGUCCGAGCCUGGGGCACCCAAGGGAGCAGUUGGUACUGCCAAAGCCCUGUGGCAGGGCCUGACUUUCUCCCCAUGCCACAGCCUGCCGGGACAGUGGAUCCUUAUCUUGAUGGUGGAAGAGGUGGACUGAAGACUCAGAGGUGUGAGAAGUGUCAUCUGGCUCCUUCUGGCACAUCUGAGUCACUUUUUGUGGUGUGCAAGGUUGCUUUUCCUCCAAGACCCAGGAAAAUGUGAUAUGCAAAUGAAUCACCAGACCCUUUCCCCAGGACUGGCCAUGCCCCCACAAACUGAGACUUCUGGGCAGCAACUUUGCCUUCUGCCUGCUGUGCUGUGCCCAGAGGAUUCCAAUCUGAUGGACUGAAGCCCGGACAAAGAUGUCAACACAACAUUCCUUUGCUAAUGGAGCCUAGCUGUCAUUGGCUCAAGCAGGACUCUGACACUCAGCCACACCACCCUCUGUUUGAAUCAACACCUGUUGGCCGAGCCUUUAUUUUGUACCAGGCACCUUGACAGGCUAGGUGGGAGGAAGUGGGCAGAGAAGAUUAGCCAUGCCACUAUCCCCAUGGGUCCCCACCAACCAGUGGCAUCUUUAGAGAUGUAGCACUGAGGUUUCACCCUAGCAAAAUCCUCAAGGAGGGGACUUGCCCUGGCUCCCAGGUAAGGAGGGCAGGGAAGGUUCAGUCAGGUCUCAGGGCCCCCUCAUCCUCUUAAGGAGACGACAGUGCCAUCAGAUGUCUGGUCCAGUAAGCUGAUCUGAGAGUGCAGCCCUCUCAUGUGUAAGGGGAAAUAGGAUGUGGGGUUUGCUAUCAGGCUCAAGAGCAGAGAGCUGGCAAUAAAUCACGAGCUGAAAAGCAAUGUCAGUGCUUCAAACUAAAUUUCCAAGCCUGAGAAACAAUCGUGCAUUAAAAUCCAUCGGAGUAAAAAAAUCUAUUAAAAUUUCAGGAGCAAUGCUUUGCUAUAAAUUAGAUUUUUCUGCCAACCAGGAUAAUUCAGUAAUUUCCCCUUGACAUUCUUGAGAUUGCUUUUUUGGGGGAAUUAUGAUGCUUUAAAG